GAAAGUUUCGGCGGUUACAGAUGGGCAUGCGUUGUAUUAGCUGGUUGGUAAGGUAACGGCUUACCAAGGCGACGAUACAUAGGGGGACUGAGAGGUUAACCCCCCACAUUGGUACUGAGACACGGACCAAACUCCUACGGGAGGCAGCAGUGAGGAAUAUUGGUCAAUGGACGGAAGUCUGAACCAGCCAUGCCGCGUGCAGGAAGACGGCUCUAUGAGUUGUAAACUGCUUUUGUACAAGGGUAAACCUGAAUACGUGUAUUCAGCUGAAAGUACUGUACGAAUAAGGAUCGGCUAACUCCGUGCCAGCAGCCGCGGUAAUACGGAGGAUCCAAGCGUUAUCCGGAUUUAUUGGGUUUAAAGGGUGCGUAGGCGGAUUGAUAAGUUAGAGGUGAAAUGUCCGAGCUCAACUCGGGAACUGCCUCUAAUACUGUUGAUCUAGAGAGUAGAUGCGGUAGGCGGAAUGUAUGGUGUAGCGGUGAAAUGCUUAGAGAUCAUACAGAACACCGAUUGCGAAGGCAGCUUACCAAUCUAUAUCUGACGUUGAGGCACGAAAGCGUGGGGAGCAAACAGGAUUAGAUACCCUGGUAGUCCA
rnacentral:rRNA from 1 species